AUUGAACGCUGGCGGCAUGCCUUACACAUGCAAGUCGAACGGCAGCAUGAUCUAGCUUGCUAGAUUGAUGGCGAGUGGCGAACGGGUGAGUAAUACAUCGGAACGUGCCCUGUAGUGGGGGAUAGCUAGUCGAAAGAUUAGCUAAUACCGCAUACGACCUGAGGGUGAAAGUGGGGGACCGCAAGGCCUCAUGCUAUAGGAGCGGCCGAUGUCUGAUUAGCUAGUUGGUGAGGUAAAGGCUCACCAAGGCGACGAUCAGUAGCUGGUCUGAGAGGACGAUCAGCCACACUGGGACUGAGACACGGCCCAGACUCCUACGGGAGGCAGCAGUGGGGAAUUUUGGACAAAGGGCGAAAGCCUGAUCCAGCAAUGCCGCGUGUGUGAAGAAGGCCUUCGGGUUGUAAAGCACUUUUGUCCGGAAAGAAAUGGCUCUGGUUAAUACCUGGGGUCGAUGACGGUACCGGAAGAAUAAGGACCGGCUAACUACGUG
rnacentral:rRNA from 1 species